AUUGAACGCUGGCGGCAGGCCUAACACAUGCAAGUCGAACGGCAGCACAGAAGAGCUUGCUCUUUGGGUGGCGAGUGGCGGACGGGUGAGUAAUGUCUGGGAAACUGCCCGAUGGAGGGGGAUAACUACUGGAAACGGUAGCUAAUACCGCAUAACGUCGCGAGACCAAAGUGGGGGACCUUCGGGCCUCACACCAUCGGAUGUGCCCAGAUGGGGAUUAGCUAGUAGGUGGGGUAAUGGCUCACCUAGGCGACGAUCCCUAGCUGGUCUGAGAGGAUGACCAGCCACACUGGAACUGAGACACGGUCCAGACUCCUACGGGAGGCAGCAGUGGGGAAUAUUGCACAAUAGGCGCAAGCCUGAUGCAGCCAUGCCGCGUGUAUGAAGAAGGCCUUCGGGUUGUAAAGUACUUUCAGCGGGGAGGAAGGCGGUGAGGUUAAUAACCUCGCCGAUUGACGUUACCCGCAGAAGAAGCACCGGCUAACUCCGUGCCAGCAGCCGCUGUAA
rnacentral:rRNA from 1 species